UGCGAACGGGUGAGUAACGCGUAGGUAACCUGCCUACUAGCGGGGGAUAACUAUUGGAAACGAUAGCUAAUACCGCAUAACAGUGUUUAACACAUGUUAGAUGCUUGAAAGAUGCAAAUGCAUCACUAGUAGAUGGACCUGCGUUGUAUUAGCUAGUUGGUGGGGUAACGGCCUACCAAGGCGACGAUACAUAGCCGACCUGAGAGGGUGAUCGGCCACACUGGGACUGAGACACGGCCCAGACUCCUACGGGAGGCAGCAGUAGGGAAUCUUCGGCAAUGGGGGCAACCCUGACCGAGCAACGCCGCGUGAGUGAAGAAGGUUUUCGGAUCGUAAAGCUCUGUUGUAAGAGAAGAACGUGUGUGAGAGUGGAAAGUUCACACAGUGACGGUAACUUACCAGAAAGGGACGGCUAACUACGUGCCAGCAGCCGCGGUAAUACGUAGGUCCCGAGCGUUGUCCGGAUUUAUUGGGCGUAAAGCGAGCGCAGGCGGUUUAAUAAGUCUGAAGUUAAAGGCAGUGGCUUAACCAUUGUUCGCUUUGGAAACUGUUAAACUUGAGUGCAGAAGGGGAGAGUGGAAUUCCAUGUGUAGCGGUGAAAUGCGUAGAUAUAUGGAGGAACACCGGUGGCGAAAGCGGCUCUCUGGUCUGUAACUGACGCUGAGGCUCGAAAGCGUGGGGAGCAAACAGGAUUAGAUACCCUGGUAGUCCACGCCGUAAACGAUGAGUGCUAGGUGUUAGGCCCUUUCCGGGGCUUAGUGCCGCAGCUAACGCAUUAAGCACUCCGCCUGGGGGAGUACGACCGCAAGGUUGAAACUCAAAGGAAUUGACGGGGGCCCGCACAAGCGGUGGAGCAUGUGGUUUUAUUUCGAAGCAACGCGAAGAACCUUACCAGGUCUUGACAUCCCGAUGCUAUUUUUAGAGAUAGAAAGUUUUUUCGGAACAUCGGUGACAGGUGGUGCAUGGUUGUCGUCAGCUCGUGUCGUGAGAUGUUGGGUUAAGUCCCGCAACGAGCGCAACCCCCCUUGUUAGUUGCCAUCAUUCAGUUGGGCACUCUAGCGAGACUGCCGGUAAUAAACCG
rnacentral:rRNA from 1 species